ACUUUCUUCUCAUCCUUCUUGGCUCUGAUGAAGUAAGCUACCACAUGGCAUAGUCCAGUGGCAAGAAAAUGAGGGCAACCAACAGGCAGCAAUGAACUGAGGCUUUCAAUGACAGAGGCAAGGAACUGAAUCCUACCAACAACCACAUGACCUUGAAAGAGGAUCCUUCCCUGUUUGAGCUUCAGGCAAAGAAGAUUUGAAUCUGAGACACUGUAAAACUUGAAACAGAGUUUACAAUCUGUGCUUGAGGAUCCCAAAGACACCAUUCAACACAUCUCACUAUCCUCUAACAAGGACUGCCCUGUGACACAUCUGAAAGAGAAGCGACAAUUUUAUUCAGACUCUUAAUGGACUGGCCCUCUAUUUGGGCAACUGCAUAAUAUCUAGAUCUUUGAUAUCAUAUCUGAGAACAAAAUGUUGUCAACUGUGCAGGAACCAAAUUAUCCUGGGAUAUAGUAAAAUAAACCACCAACUACCUUUUCCUAUUUAUCAAGCAGAGCAAAAUGAUAUUGCUUCCUUUAAAUCUGGGUUGUUUCCCUUUUUUCUUACCUAACCAGCCCUUCAACCUGGGGCUGGAACUGAUUGGGACUUUAAAAUGCUUUGUUACCAUUCAUUCUUUAAUAAGCACAAUGGUUUACUCCCUUUUGAGGCAGGGGCCCCGUGUAAUGAGUCAAUGCUUCUGCUAACUCCAAGAACCCUUAAUUAUUUCCACCAUUUUCUCCAUAUGUUUCCUUCACCGACUGUGCGAAUCAGAGGCAGGCUGCUGGUUGUCAGAGACUGGAAAAGUCACUGGCCUUCCUUGUUGGCAGGGAACUGAAUUCUGCAGGGUCUGUAUUCAUGGACAGAGUAUCCUAUCUCAGAGUUUAUGCAGCACCUUCUGUUUUUAGUUUACUGGUGAACGGGGCACAUCACAAGAACUUCGAGUGCAGCUAAAGCCAAAUCAGACUUGACAGAAAAUUAUUAGCAGGGUACAGAAGGAAAAAAGAUCCCCCUUCCUUUCUGUAAUCAGGUUAAUAUGUGCAUGGAAUGUUUCACUUAAAAAGGUAGUGUGUUUUGGCAAAGCUGGUUUCUUAAGUAAAAUUUCAGUUCCCAUUAUGCAAGGCUAUCCAUUGCUGCUCUGGCAGAGCCUUUGAUCAGUGAACUCAGUGGGGGAGAAGGGCAUAGGCAUAUUAAUAACUUCAACAUGUGGCCCUUCGGCCCAGCUGCACCCUGUCUUGGAAAACGGCCAACUGGAAAGGGUUUUCUUAACACGACUUGUAUAUGCAUAUUUUGGAAAGGGGAAAGGGUAGGUAGGAGUUCGAAGGAGGAAAUAAAAUCUGGUUUUAUUGUG